rnacentral:rRNA from 1 species
GGAAUAUUGGACAAUGGGCGAAAGCCUGAUCCAGCAAUGCCGCGUGAGUGAUGAAGGCCUUAGGGUUGUAAAGCUCUUUUACCCGGGAAGAUAAUGACUGUACCGGGAGAAUAAGCCCCGGCUAACUCCGUGCCAGCAGCCGCGGUAAUACAGAGGUGGCAAGCGUUGUUCGGAAUUACUGGGCGUAAAGCGCGCGUAGGCGGCUUUGUAAGUCAGAGGUGAAAGCCUGGAGCUCAACUCCAGAACUGCCUUUGAGACUGCAUCGCUAGAAUCAUGGAGAGGUUAGUGGAAUUCCGAGUGUAGAGGUGAAAUUCGUAGAUAUUCGGAAGAACACCAGUGGCGAAGGCGACUAACUGGACAUGUAUUGACGCUGAGGUGCGAAAGCGUGGGGAGCAAAC